ensembl:lncRNA
AUGUGGUUUGGUGGAGUCUCCAUUGUUAUCUGGGUUGCCGUGGCUCUCGUUGCUUUCCUGACUGGUGGGUUUGUCAUUUGUACUUGGCUUUUUUUUUGUUGUUACCUGAGAUACCAGGGUUGUGGUCGUUUCCGGGAUUGGUGGGUUUGUCUCUGUUUCCUGUGUUUGUGGUUGUGUUGUUGUGAUCUGGUUUGGUGGGUUUGUCUCUGUUUCCUGUGUUUGUGGUUGUGUUGUUGUGAUCUGGAUUGGUGGGUUUGUCUCUGUUUCCUGUGUUUGUGGUUGUGUUGUUGUGAUCUGGAUUGGUGGGUUUGUCUCUGUUUCCUGUGUUUGUGGUUGUGUUGUUGUGAUCUGGAUUGGUGGGUUUGUCUCUGUUUCCUGUGUUUGUGGUUCUGUGGUUGUGAUCUGGAUUGGUGGGUUUGUCUCUGUUUCCUGUGUUUGUGGUUCUGUGGUUGUGAUCUGGAUUGGUGGGUUUGUCUCUGUUUCCUGUGUUUGUGGUUGUGUUGUUGUGAUCUGGAUUGGUGGGUUUGUCUCUGUUUCCUGUGUUUGUGGUUCUGUUGUUGUGAUCUGGUUUGGUGGGUUUGUCUCUGUUUCCUGUGUUUGUUGUUCUGUGGUUGUGAUCUGGAUUGGUGGGUUUGUCUCUGUUUCCUGUGUUUGUGGUUCUGUGGUUGUGAUCUGGAUUGGUGGGUUUGUCUCUGUUUCCUGUGUUUGUGGUUGUGUUGUUGUGAUCUGGAUUGGUGGGUUUGUCUCUGUUUCCUGUGUUUGUGGUUGUGUUGUUGUGAUCUGGAUUGGUGGGUUUGUCUCUGUUUCCUGUGUUUGUGGUUCUGUGGUUGUGAUCUGGAUUGGUGGGUUUGUCUCUGUUUCCUGUGUUUGUGGUUCUGUGGUUGUGAUCUGGAUUGGUGGGUUUGUCUCUGUUUCCUGUGUUUGUGGUUGUGUUGUUGUGAUCUGGAUUGGUGGGUUUGUCUCUGUUUCCUGUGUUUGUGGUUGUGUUGUUGUGAUCUGGAUUGGUGGGUUUGUCUCUGUUUCCUGUGUUUGUGGUUCUGUGGUUGUGAUCUGGAUUGGUGGGUUUGUCUCUGUUUCCUGUGUUUGUGGUUGUGUUGUUGUGAUCUGGAUUGGUGGGUUUGUCUCUGUUUCCUGUGUUUGUGGUUGUGUUGUUGUGAUCUGGAUUGGUGGGUUUGUCUCUGUUUCCUGUGUUUGUGGUUCUGUGGUUGUGAUCUGGAUUGGUGGGUUUGUCUCUGUUUCCUGUGUUUGUGGUUCUGUGGUUGUGAUCUGGAUUGGUGGGUUUGUCUCUGUUUCCUGUGUUUGUGGUUGUGUUGUUGUGAUCUGGAUUGGUGGGUUUGUCUCUGUUUCCUGUGUUUGUGGUUGUGUUGUUGUGAUCUGGAUUGGUGGGUUUGUCUCUGUUUCCUGUGUUUGUGGUUCUGUGGUUGUGAUCUGGAUUGGUGGGUUUGUCUCUGUUUCCUGUGUUUGUGGUUCUGUGGUUGUGAUCUGGAUUGGUGGGUUUGUCUCUGUUUCCUGUGUUUGUGGUUCUGUUGUUGUGAUCUGGUUUGGUGGGUUUUUCUUUGUUACCUGAGAUACCAGGGUUGUGGUGGUAUUCCGGAUUGGUGGGUUUGUCACUGUUUGUGGUUUUGUUGGUGUUGA